GAUGAAGGAGGAGCUUGCUCCUCUGGAUUAGUGGCGAACGGGUGAGUAACACGUGAGCAAUCUGCCCUUGACUCUGGGAUAAGCGCUGGAAACGGCGUCUAAUACCGGAUACGACCCUCGGAGGCAUCUCCUGUGGGUGGAAAGAACUUCGGUCAAGGAUGAGCUCGCGGCCUAUCAGCUUGUUGGUGAGGUAAUGGCUCACCAAGGCGACGACGGGUAGCCGGCCUGAGAGGGUGACCGGCCACACUGGGACUGAGACACGGCCCAGACUCCUACGGGAGGCAGCAGUGGGGAAUAUUGCACAAUGGGCGCAAGCCUGAUGCAGCAACGCCGCGUGAGGGACGACGGCCUUCGGGUUGUAAACCUCUUUUAGCAGGGAAGAAGCGAGAGUGACGGUACCUGCAGAAAAAGCACCGGCUAACUACGUGCCAGCAGCCGCGGUAAUACGUAGGGUGCAAGCGUUGUCCGGAAUUAUUGGGCGUAAAGAGCUCGUAGGCGGUCUGUCGCGUCUGCUGUGAAAACCCGAGGCUCAACCUCGGGCUUGCAGUGGGUACGGGCAGACUAGAGUGCGGUAGGGGAGAUUGGAAUUCCUGGUGUAGCGGUGGAAUGCGCAGAUAUCAGGAGGAACACCGAUGGCGAAGGCAGAUCUCUGGGCCGUAACUGACGCUGAGGAGCGAAAGCGUGGGGAGCAAACAGGCUUAGAUACCCUGGUAGUCCACGCCGUAAACGUUGGGAACUAGAUGUGGGACCAUUCCACGGUCUCCGUGUCGUAGCUAACGCAUUAAGUUCCCCGCCUGGGGAGUACGGCCGC
rnacentral:rRNA from 1 species